UACAGAGGUCUCAAGCGUUGUUCGGAUUCAUUGGGCGUAAAGGGUGCGUAGGCGGCGCGGUAAGUCGGGUGUGAAAUCUUGGAGCUUAACUCCGAAACUGCAUUCGAUACUGCCGUGCUUGAGGACUGGAGAGGAGACUGGAAUUUACGGUGUAGCAGUGAAAUGCGUAGAGAUCGUAAGGAAGACCAGUGGCGAAGGCGACUUGCUGGUCUGUAACUGACGCUGAGGCGCGAAAGCGUGGGGAGCAAACAGG
rnacentral:rRNA from 1 species